rnacentral:misc_RNA from 1 species
UUUUUUUUUUUUUUAUAUAUAUAAAUAUCUAAUAGGGUCAGUUGAUUUAAUAAGAAUGAGAGUCUUUAUUCUUAAUUAAUCAGGGUUUGAUUUUAUCAUACAUCACUUAAAAUUUAUUUAUUCUAAGUGUAUAAAAUUAAUAUGAAAGAGUGCAUUAUUAAAAUCACUUGAAUAGAUAAUUUAAUCAUGAUAUGUAAAAACUAUCAUGAGAAUUAGGGUAUACAUUAUUCAGUUUUAACCGAAUCAAAUUGAUGAAUUUCGGUUAUUUCGGUAAGAAUAAGUUCGGUUCAGUUUAAUUUUCAAUUAAUAAUAAUAAUAAUUUUUAAUUUUCGAUUUUCAAUGUAGUUACUUUUGAUUUAGCAAUCAAAAU